AGGACGAACGCUGGCGGCGUGCUUAACACAUGCAAGUCGAGCGGUGAUCCUCCUUCGGGAGGUGAGCAGCGGCGAACGGGUGAGUAACACGUGGGCAACCUGCCCCUCACACUGGGAUAACCUCGGGAAACCGGGGCUAAUACCGGAUAUGACCUCGAGCGGCAUCUCUUGAGGUGGAAAGCUCCGACGGUGAGGGAUGGGCCCGCGGCCUAUCAGCUUGUUGGUGGGGUAAUGGCCUACCAAGGCGACGACGGGUAGCCGGCCUGAGAGGGCGACCGGCCACACUGGGACUGAGACACGGCCCAGACUCCUACGGGAGGCAGCAGUGGGGAAUAUUGCGCAAUGGGCGAAAGCCUGACGCAGCGACGCCGCGUGAGGGAUGAAGGCCUUCGGGUUGUAAACCUCUUUCAGCAGGGACGAAGCGAAAGUGACGGUACCGUGCAGAAGAAGCACCGGCUAACUACGUGCCAGCAGCCGCGGUAA
rnacentral:rRNA from 1 species